GUUUUUUAAAGAGUUGAGUAGACAGAUGAGUGCUCUGACGAAUGGCUAAAGGGCCUGAUUGUUCAAAAAGUGUUUUAAAUUAAACAAAAGCAUGUAGAUACAUUACGGCCAGUUUAAAUUGUUAUUCCGUUCAAUUAAUACAAACUCUGCUUUUGUAUUUAAAUUUUCUUAUCUGAACUAUUUAUAAAUUCUUUUUUUGAAUUUAAUUACCUGACCUCAUUUAAUAUACAUCAAACACAAAUACGGUUUGUAGCAGGCCUUGCUUUUUUAAAUGUUUCAAAACCACUGAAAAGUUAAGUGUUGUAAACAUCUGGGAGUAUUUGAAGAGGGUACGUGUUUAUAAUAGUAUGUGUUGCAAGUGAGGAAGUGCCAUCUUGUGGUAUUGACUUGUAUUUAUAAGCAAAUAAAAUGCUAAAGAGAGUGCGAAAGUUGCUUCUGGUAUGUUGAAUUAAAUGUGUAUAAACAACAUUCAUUAUUAGUCUUUCACUGUGUCUGAGACUGAAUGCUGAUUUCAAACAUUUCUGGCAUGUUUAAUGCUGUAGUGAUUAGCUGAAGAAAUGGUGUAGACAAGCACAAGUUGAGAGAGUAAUUGCAGAUCUGGAGAACGCUUGGGCCUAUUUUUAGCUCAAUGCUACUUCUUUGGAGAAUAAUUAGAUAGAAGGGAAGAAAAGAAUUAUUAGCAGCUCUUGUCAAUGUGCAGUUGCUGAGCAGGGCUUUAUGACAAGAGAAGAGCAUCACGAGGCUGAAGGCGAUGCUCGUGGUGUCACAGCACUGCUAAGGUUCAGAGUUUGAACGCUAUGAUUUCACUGAAGUUACGGCUCUGCAAAUAGGUUUACUUCCCAGGCAGGGCAGGAGGUCGCAGAAUCAAGCCAUGGUGGUGCUGUGGCUGCAAAGCAAGGUCAGAAACUCUCUUUCCUCUUCCACAGAAACAAAUAUGGAUGGAAUCAAGAGUGAACGCUAUCUCAGUCAGUUGCAGAGAACCCAGCUUCCUGCCAGGGGUGUUUGGCUGCUCCUACUUUCUGCCUUGGAGUUUGCCCAGUACUGAACCUUUGAGUGGCGUAUGAGUUACAAGAGGAAUGACAGUCUGGUGCUGCUAGGAAGAGUGCUGCCAGACCGUAACAUAGUGUAUCUGUGGGAUAUGAUGUAAGGAGAAUGGUAGCUUGUUAAAGAAAGGUGAUGGAAUAAACUCAAUUAAGAGAGCUGCUCA
rnacentral:lncRNA from 1 species